ensembl:lncRNA novel transcript
CCUGGCCCUACCAUGGCCCUGUCCCUCUCCUGGCUCUGUCCUGGUCUUGUGCUGACCCUGACCCAGACCUUGGCCCUGCCCCAGCCUUGUCCUUGACCUGGCCAUGGCCCUGCCUCUGCCCUGGACCAGCGCUGUCACUGGCAUGGACCCUGGCCCUGGCCCUUUGCUACUUAAGGCCAUAACCUGUCCCAGCCCUGGUCCUGACCCUGUCCUGGCCCUAAUUUGGCCGGCUCUACCCUGGCAUGCUAUUCUGGCCCUAGCCUUGACCCUGUCCCUGUCCCUCUCCUGGCCCUAGCCCCAUUGCUGGUCCUGCCAUGGCUCUUAUCCUGACAUUGCCCUUUCCUGGUCCUGGCCCCGGCCCUGUCCCAGCCCUGUUCUGGCCCUGGUCUGAACCCUGGCCCUGCAAUGGACCCUCCUUGGUCCUACCCAGACCCUGGUUCUGGUCCUACCUCUGCCCUGGCCAUACCUUUGCCCUGGCCUGGACCCCGGUACUGGUCCUUGUCCUGCCCCAGCCGUGGCCCCGGCCCCGCCCUGCCUGUGCCCUGUUCUAUCCUGGGCUGGCCCUGCCAUGGCCUGGUCUUGCCAUUGGCCUGCCCUAGCCUGCCCUGCUUGUGCCCUAGAUCUGCCCCGGCCUUUGCCCCUGUCUUGGUUCCAGCCUUGACUCAGCCCUGGACCUUCCCUGACCUUGCCUCAGCCCUGGCACUACCCUGGCCUUGGCUUGGCAUUUGCCCUACUCUCUCUAUGGCCUGGCUCUGGUCCUGCCCUGCUCUGCUCUUGUUCUGUCCUGGCACAGCCCUGGCCCUGCCGUAUCACUGGCUCUGGUCCUGCCCUUAUGCAGGCCUGACCGUGCCCCUGCCUUGGCUUUGGCCUGGACCUUGGCCGUACAGUGACCCUGCCAUGACCCUUUCCUGGCCCUGGCCUGGAACUUGGCCCUGCCAAGGACUCGCCCUGGCUCUGUCAUGGCCCCGGCCCUUUCCUGGAUUUGGAUGUGUCCUGUCCCUUAUUUGCCCCGGCCCUUCCCUGGCUCUGCCAUACCCCUUCUCUGGGGUAGGGCCAGGGUCAGGACCAGGGUAGGGCCAUGGUAAGGCCUGAAGAUGGGAAGGGCUGGGGCAGCGGCAGGACCAGGGAAGGGUCAGGGCCAGUGAUGUGGUAGGACUAGGGGCAGAGCCGGCACUAGGGCUGAGCCGGAGCAGAGCAGGAGAGAUUAUAUUAGGCUAUUACAUAAAAUUUUUAUUUUAGAUUUUUAAGAUAACUAUGGUAGUGGUAAUAAUGUCCAUACUAUGUUGUUUGUAAUAGUAAUAAUAUUUGCAGUAAAUAAUCACUAAAUUUUAACUAAUACUAUCUUUGCUUCCAGUAGUGUUCUAUGAGUACAAUUUUAUCAAUAUGUAAAUAUGUGAGGCAUUGAUUCUCACAAUAAUUCUAUGUGCUAGGUACUUAAAGCAUCCCCAUUUUCCAAAUGUAGGAAACAGGCAUAAAGAAGUUAAAUACUUGGCCAGAUUACUCCUGUAAUCCCAGCACUUUGGGAGGCCAAGGCAGGCAAAUGGCUUGAGCUCAGGAGUUUGGAACCAGCCUGGGCAACAUUGUGAAACCCCAUCUCUACUAAAAAUGCACAAAAAGAGCUGAUUUAAGUUUCUUGUAGGAUUCUGGUUAUAAAACACUGGUCAAACACACCGGGCGUGGAUAGGGCAGGGCCAGGGACAAGGUCAGGUCAGGAAGGGGCCAGGGCCAAGGCAGGGCCAGAGCUGGACUUGGAGGUGUCCUGGUCUGAUUUGCCCUGUCCCAACGUUGGCCCAGCCCUGCUCUGGCACUUCCUGUCAUGCCCUGUCCCUGGUCUGAGCAUUGGCCCUGGCCCUGUCCUGCUUCUGGCCCUGCCCCAGAGUUGACCAGGCACUGCCAUGGCCCAGUCCUGCAUUGCCCUGCCCUUUUCUGCCCUGGUGCUGCCAUGGCCCUGCUUGGGCCCUAGCUCUGCCUCGACUCUGGACCUGCCCUGACUCUGCUCAGCCCUGGAUCUACCCUGACUCUGCCUUGGUGUUGCCCUCCCAUCUCUAUGGCCUGGCUCUGGCCCUGCCUUGCACAGGCCAUGCUCUGCCCUGCAUGUCCCAGCCUGGGCCCAGCCCUUGCCCUACCAUAUUUCUGACCCCACCCGUACCCUUGUUCUGGCCUUGACCCUGCCGUGGCAUUCUCCUGGCCCUUCCUUGGUCCUGCCCUGCCCUUCCAUGCCCUGGCCUUUCCCUCACCCUGCACUGGUCCUGCCCUGCCCUGGCAGUGCCUUGGCCCUGGCCCUGCCUCUGCCUUCUCCCUGGCCUUGCUCUUUCCCUGCCCUGGCCUGACCCCAGGCCUACCGAGUCCAUGAAAUGACCCUGGACCUGCCUUGCCAUCAUCUGUCCUGGCCCUGUAUUGUCCCCACCAUGCUCUGGUCCAGCGCUUACCCUGGCCCUGUUGCUAGUCCUGCCACUGCUAUGGCCCUGCCCUGUUUUUGGCCAUGACCUGUGCUACCCUAGCCGUGCCCCGCCUUGGCCUUGGCCCUACCGUGGCCUUUUCCUACCCUGGCCUGGCCGUACACUGGCCAUUUCUACCCUGGCCUUGCCCUUCCCUGGUCUUGCCCUGCCCUGGCCUUGCCCUGCCCUGGCCUUGGCUUUGCCUUAUCCUGGUCCUGGUUCUGCCCUGGCCCUGCCCUUUCUCUGGAUGCUCUCUGGUUCUGCCUUCUCCCUGGCCCUGCCCUUGCUCUGGCCCUGUUCCUGGCUCAGCCUUGACCCUGGCCCUGGCCCUGACAAUCCCCAGGCCCCACACUGGCCAUGCUUGGCCCUGGCCCCUCCUUUGGCCCUGCCCUGGCCCUGUGCUAUCUUAGUACAGGGCCUUGGCCUUGGCCCUGUGCUAUCUUAGUCCUGCCCUGGCCCUGAACUUGCCCUGGCCCUACCCUCACCCUACACUGGCCCUGCCCUACCCUGGCCUUGCCCUGACCUGGCCCUGCCUUUGGCCUGCCCUGGCUCUGGUUCUGCCCUGGCCUUGCCCUUGCCCUGGACCCUCCCUGGCCAUGUUUUUACUGUGGUCCUUCUCUGGCCUUGCCCUUGCCCUUUCCCCUUUCUGGUCCUGCCAUGUUUCUGGCCCUGCCCUGUCCAUGUCCUGGACCUGACUCUGGCCCUGGACCUCCCUGUCCCUGCCCUGCCAUACCCUGGCCCGUUCCUUGCUCUACACUGACCCUGCCCUGCCUUGGCCCUGUGCUACCCUAGCCCUGCCCUGGCCUUCUGCUGGCCCUGAUCCUGCCAUGGCCCUGGCCCUGCCAUGUCCCUGCCCUGGCCCUGGUUCUGCCCUACUUCUGGCCCUGGCCUUGGUCCUCUUAUGUCCCUGGCUGUGACCCUGCCCCUGGUUUUUCUCUGGCCAUGACCCUGCCCUGGUUCUGUCCUAUCCCUGGCCCUGUCUCAGUUCUGUCCUAGCCCUGGCCUUUCACAGUACUUUAUGCUUAGUAAGGGCUCCAUAGUGUCUGUGAGUUGAAUGUUGUGUUCAUAGUAUCUGCCAAAACAGAAAGAAAAAAAACAAAAUCUGAAGAUGAGAAGUUAAAGCUUUGUAUAUAAUAUGCCUUGAAUUGUAAGUGCUUGUUAUUAGUUGUAUUACAUGUAGGUCAUGGUUUUGUACACAUAACUCCAAACCAUUGAUACUGUUAAAAGACUAUAUGAAUAUAUGAAAGAAUAUAUAAACGUAAGAAUGUAUGAGUAUCUAAUGACCUCUCCAAAUUAAUUUUUAUUUUUAGCUCUAUUAGAUUUUUCUCAGUGUAACAAAUGUUUAUUCCUAUGUAAUUAAGGGCAUAUUUCCUGUACAGAAUAUUCAUAUUACUUAAUUGAAAAUUAUAUAAUGCAAAAAUAUAAUACUAUUUUUAGGCCAGGCAUGGUGGCUCAUACCUGUAAUCCCAACAUUUUGAGAGGCCAAGUUUGGAGAAUCAUUUGAGUCCAGGAGUUGACCAGCCUGGGCAACAU